rnacentral:rRNA from 1 species
AGUGUAGGCGGCUAUGUCAGUCGGAUGUGAAAGCCCCGGGCUCAACCUGGGAAUUGCAUUCGAUACUGCAUAGCUAGAGUUUGGUAGAGGUAAGUGGAAUUCCGGGUGUAGCGGUGAAAUGCGUAGAUAUCCGGAGGAACAUCAGUGGCGAAGGCGGCUUACUGGACCAAAACUGACGCUGAGGCUCGAAAGCGUGGGGAGCAAACAGGAUUAGAUACCCUGGUAGUCC